rnacentral:lncRNA from 1 species
UGUGCACUCCCUCUCACCGUUGCUCCGUCUCUCCUAACGGUUGUUGCCCUUAUCCGAUCUCGCCGCGUUAAUCCCAGAGUGCCGGUCUGUGUUUUGUUGCCUCGCAUACAUCGAUUCUUUUGGUUUAAACUAAUUUGUUAUAAUUGUGCUGGGUUUUGUCGUUUGAACCAAUCCUUCCCCCUACAUACUUCUUAAAUGCUUAUUUUAUUGUGGGAAAGUGGAAAGUGAGGAAUGUGAAUUCUAUCUGGUUAUACUAGCACUACUUGACGACCCGCGUUUAUUUGCCUUAUUUUCCCGCCUUCAUAGACUGGUGAGUGUGUCCUUUGGAAGUGUGCCAGUGUGUUUUAACCCUCCCUUUUCCAGCUUGUUUCGCCGCUUACUGCCGUUGUGAAGUUCAUCUGUGAAUCCUUGUGUGUACGCGUGCCAGGAAGUGGACCUGCGGAUCGACACUUCUCCUCAUCUGGCUGCUGUUCGGUUCCCCCCUGGCCUGGUAAGUUUUGGAUAUAGUGGACGCCUCCUUACUAAUACUUUAUCUUCCAGAUCGCCUCUGUGCCCCAGUUCUGCCUGUCGGCCGUGAAUCCGCUAGCGAUCGCCGGAAUUAUUGUCCCUUCGCCCGGGUUCGGAUUCACGGUGCUUUACCACCCACGCCGGCUGCGCCUCUGAUCCAGAUCGGUUGGAAGUCCCCCCACACAGUGUCCCGGACCCGAGGAUCG